AGAUGUUAAAAGCAAGAGACAUGGGAGAGCAUCAUUCCUUUGAGAUUUUAUAAAUCAAACCAAGUUUGGAGUUGUCUUGUCUGAUUUGGAGAGUCAUUAUUCUUGGUCUUCGCUCUUAGAGGCCACUGAUGAAGAACAGGCGGUGACUGGAUGAAUCCUGGUGAGAGAGGAGAAUCUUCUUUCCCCUAAACUGAUGCAGCGGUGGUUUUAAAGGAGGACGCUGCUCUGGAUGAUGUAGAAGAUGUCACAUGCUGUGCUGAUGGGGUUUCUUCAUGACUACAUCAGUUAUGCUAAAGAGAUCAUGAAAAUUGACCGUGAUGCAUGAUCUGUAUUCAUGGACUAUGAAACAAACUGUAAGUGUAUAAUUUGUAAAAAAAAAAAAAAAGUUAAAUGCUUUUUCUGUGUUGUUUAGUAGAAGAGUUUACACUGUCAUUCAUACACCUGCUCACAUUCUUUCACACACACACACACACACACGCGUCUGUUAAAUGUUAUAAUAUCAAAGUUAAUGUUGUGAUUUAUUUGUGUACUGUCAUGCCAGAAUAGUUGGAAAAAAACCUAAUUCAGUUAUAUUCAUCAAAUGUUCAAUGCUUUAUGAACUCUGUAGCUGUUAAUGCCAUCCUUUUCUGCAUUUCUUCUAACAUGUUACUUUUUGACUUUUCUCUUGUUUUUAAUAAAUAUUUUCCUUUUGAUAAUUAUUAUUUGUGUGUAAAAGUGAUAUUUAAAAUGAACAACAUUUGUAGGUUUAAUGCCUAGCUCAAUUUGGGUUAAUUUUAACGUAGAAAUGCAUUGUUUCCCCACAUGGCUACACUGCGAGUUUAUUUUCUGCCAGCAGGAGGCGCUAAGAGCGGGAGAGGUAGGUUUUUCCGGUAACGGCUGCAGAGCGGUGCUGAGCUCACAAACGCUGCCUUAUCAAGCACAUGCGAAAUGAUAUCGAACAUUUUCUAAAUACAGUAGUUUUCCUUCUGAAAUACAGUGAUAAAAAACACCCGCUCUGGUUUUUGAAACCCUGCAAUAUAGUCAUUUUAAACCAUAAAAAAUGGCAACCCAGCAGGCUGGGUUAAAUAUGAUAACCCAACUGGUUGGGUUAAAAUAACCCAGCGCUGGGUUCGUCCCUUUUUGACCCAGCGCUGGGUUGUCAAAAUAACCCAAAUUGGGUUGUUUUCAACCCAGCAGUUUUUAGAGUGUAGAUUCAGAGAAAUUGAGAGCUAUCGGGUGGUGAAACCUGUGUCGAACUGAAAUGAACUGCACCUUGUGCUGCAUAUCGGGUCCGGCUGUCAUAUUUCAUUAGGACAGUUACUAUGGAGACAAUACUUCUAGGUCAGGUAAAUGAUUAGCCGUGGGCUGGGAGACAGAGUGCUCCCGUUUGUGCCAUUACAGGGUUCUUGUGUAGACAUUUUCGCAUGUGAUAUACGGUGCCCAUUUAGGAAAGCAUAUUCAUUUAGGACUGUAAGCGUGAGCAAUGAUCCUUUAAGAAAGCAAUUGUGCAGUAAUGAAUCUGUGACCUUGUUCACUCUAUUUACCUUACAAUGCAGUCUGAGGAGGUCUGUCUGUGUUUAAAUCACAGACAACUUAUUCUAGAUGACAGAUAAACAUGGCUUGCAGUGGGUGGAGAGAUCGCCUCCGUCAUAACAACAUGAACUAAAUACCGGUCACGGGAGAACAAGUGCAUAUUUAGGAUUAUGCAAAUAUAUAUGCACUUACUUUCCCUUUUUCUGUUUCCUCCUCAU